AGAGUUUGAUCCUGGCUCAGGAUGAACGCUGGCGGCGUGCCUAAUACAUGCAAGUCGAACGCUUUGUGGUUCAACUGAUUUGAAGAGCUUGCUCAGAUAUGACGAUGGACAUUGCAAAGAGUGGCGAACGGGUGAGUAACACGUGGGAAACCUACCUCUUAGCAGGGGAUAACAUUUGGAAACAGAUGCUAAUACCGUAUAACAAUGACAACCGCAUGGUUGUUAUUUAAAAGAUGGUUCUGCUAUCACUAAGAGAUGGUCCCGCGGUGCAUUAGCUAGUUGGUAAGGUAAUGGCUUACCAAGGCGAUGAUGCAUAGCCGAGUUGAGAGACUGAUCGGCCACAAUGGGACUGAGACACGGCCCAUACUCCUACGGGAGGCAGCAGUAGGGAAUCUUCCACAAUGGGCGAAAGCCUGAUGGAGCAACGCCGCGUGUGUGAUGAAGGGUUUCGGCUCGUAAAACACUGUUGUAAGAGAAGAAUGACAUUGAGAGUAACUGUUCAAUGUGUGACGGUAUCUUACCAGAAAGGAACGGCUAAAUACGUGCCAGCAGCCGCGGUAAUACGUAUGUUCCAAGCGUUAUCCGGAUUUAUUGGGCGUAAAGCGAGCGCAGACGGUUAUUUAAGUCUGAAGUGAAAGCCCUCAGCUCAACUGAGGAAUUGCUUUGGAAACUGGAUGACUUGAGUGCAGUAGAGGAAAGUGGAACUCCAUGUGUAGCGGUGAAAUGCGUAGAUAUAUGGAAGAACACCAGUGGCGAAGGCGGCUUUCUGGACUGUAACUGACGUUGAGGCUCGAAAGUGUGGGUAGCAAACAGGAUUAGAUACCCUGGUAGUCCACACCGUAAACGAUGAGUGCUAGGUGUUUGAGGGUUUCCGCCCUUAAGUGCCGCAGCUAAACGCAUUAAGCACUCCGCCUGGGGAGUACGACCGCAAGGUUGAAACUCAAAGGAAUUGACGGGGACCCGCACAAGCGGUGGAGCAUGUGGUUUAAUUCGAAGCAACGCGAAGAACCUUACCAGGUCUUGACAUCCCUUGACAACUCCAGAGAUGGAGCGUUCCCUUCGGGGACAAGGUGACAGGUGGUGCAUGGUUGUCGUCAGCUCGUGUCGUGAGAUGUUGGGUUAAGUCCCGCAACGAGCGCAACCCUUAUUACUAGUUGCCAGCAUUCAGUUGGGCACUCUAGUGAGACUGCCGGUGACAAACCGGAGGAAGGUGGGGAUGACGUCAAAUCAUCAUGCCCCUUAUGACCUGGGCUACACACGUGCUACAAUGGCGUAUACAACGAGUUGCCAACCCGCGAGGGUGAGCUAAUCUCUUAAAGUACGUCUCAGUUCGGAUUGUAGGCUGCAACUCGCCUACAUGAAGUCGGAAUCGCUAGUAAUCGCGGAUCAGCACGCCGCGGUGAAUACGUUCCCGGGUCUUGUACACACCGCCCGUCA
rnacentral:rRNA from 1 species